rnacentral:rRNA from 1 species
AUACGGAGGAUCCGAGCGUUAUCCGGAUUUAUUGGGUUUAAAGGGUGCGCAGGCGGCCAUUUAAGUCAGCGGUUAAAUCGUGGGGCUCAACCCCAUUCUGCCGUUGAUACUGGGUGGCUUGAUUGCGGUCGAGGUUGGCGGAAUUCGUUGUGUAGCGGUGAAAUGCAUAGAUAUGACGAAGAACACCGAUUGCGUAGGCAGCUGACCAGACCGCAAAUGACGCUCAUGCACGAAAGUGCGGGGAUCGAACAGGAUUAGAUACCCUGGUAGUCCGCACAGUAAACGAUGAAUACUUGUUUUCGGCGAUAUAAUGUCGGAGGCAAAGCGAAAGCGAUAAGUAUUCCACCUGGGGAGUACACCGGCAACGGUGAAACUCAAAGGAAUUGACGGGG